rnacentral:rRNA from 1 species
CAAGUCGAACGGCAGCACGGGAGCUUGCUUCUGGUGGCGAGUGGCGAACGGGUGAGUAAUGUAUCGGAACGUACCCAGUCGUGGGGGAUAACUCUCCGAAAGGAGAGCUAAUACCGCAUACGUCCUGAGGGGGAAAGCGGGGGACCUAAGGGUAACUGAGGGCCUCGCGCGAUUGGAGCGGCCGAUAUCGGAUUAGCUAGUUGGUGGGGUAAAGGCUCACCAAGGCGACGAUCCGUAGCGGGUCUGAGAGGACGACCCGCCACACUGGAACUGAGACACGGUCCAGACUCCUACGGGAGGCAGCAGUGGGGAAUUUUGGACAAUGGGGGCAACCCUGAUCCAGCCAUUCCGCGUGAGUGAAGAAGGCCUUCGGGUUGUAAAGCUCUUUCAGCAGGAGCGAAACGGUCGUUUUUAAUACAGACGGCUAAUGACGGUACCUGCAGAAGAAGCACCGGCUAACUCCGUGCCAGCAGCCGCGG